AGCUCGAUUAUGGCUCAGAUUGAACGCUGGCGGGAUGCUUUACACAUGCAAGUCGAACGGCAGCACGGACUUCGGUCUGGUGGCGAGUGGCGAACGGGUGAGUAAUGUAUCGGAACGUGCCUAGUAGCGGGGGAUAACUACGCGAAAGCGUAGCUAAUACCGCAUACGCCCUUCGGGGGAAAGCGGGGGACCUUCGGCCUCGCACUAUUAGAGCGGCCGAUAUCGGAUUAGCUAGUUGGUGGGGUAACGGCUCACCAAGGCGACGAUCCGUAGCUGGUUUGAGAGGAUGACCAGCCACACUGGGACUGAGACACGGCCCAGACUCCUACGGGAGGCAGCAGUGGGGAAUUUGACAAUGGGGAAACUCCUGAUCCAGCCAUCCCGCGUGUGCGAUGAAGGCCUUCGGGUUGUAAAGCACUUUUUGGCAGGAAGAAACGGCACGGGAUAAUACCCCGUGCAACUGACGGUACCUGCAGAAUAAGCACCGGCUAACUACGUGCCAGCAGCCGCGGUAAUACGUAGGUGCAAGCGUUAAUCGGAAUUACUGGGCGUAAAGCGUGCGCAGGCGGUUCGGAAAGAAAGAUGUGAAAUCCCAGAGCUUAACUUUGGAACUGCAUUUUUAACUACUGAGCUAGAGUGUGUCAGAGGGAGGUGGAAUUCCGCGUGUAGCAGUGAAAUGCGUAGAUAUGCGGAGGAACACCGAUGGCGAAGGCAGCCUCCUGAUAACACUGACGCUCAUGCACGAAAGCGUGGGGAGUAAAAUGAGAUUAGAUACCCUGGUAGUCCACGCCCAAACGAUGUCAACUAUUGUUGGGGCCUUCGGGCCUGGUAGCGCAGCUAACGCGUGAAGUUGACCGCCUGGGGAGUACGGUCGCAAGAUUAAAACUCAAAGGAAUUGACGGGAUUCCACAAGCGGUGGAUGAUGUGGAUUAAUUCGAUGCAACGCGAAAACCUUACCUACCCUUGACAUGCCUGAAUCCCGAAGAGAUUUGGGAGUGCUCGCAAGAGAACCGGAACACAGGUGCUGCACAGCUGUCGUCAGCUCGUGUCGUGAGAUGUUGGGUUAAGUCCCGCAACGAGCGCAACCCUUGUCAUUAUUGCUACGAAAGGGCACUCUAAUGAGACUGCCGGUGACAAACCGGGAGGAAGGUGGGGAUGACGUCAAGUCCUCAUGGCCCUUAUGGGUAGGGCUUCACACGUCAUACAAUGGUCGGGACAGAGGGUCGCCAACCCGCGAGGGGAGCCAAUCCCAGAAACCCGAUCAGAACUGGAUCGCAGUCUGCAACUCGACUGCGUGAAGUCGGAAUCGCUAGUAAUCGCGGAUCAGCAUGUCGCGGUGAAUACGUUCCCGGGUCUUGUACACACCGCCCGUCACACCAUGGAGUGGGUUUUACCAGAAGUAGUUAGCCUAACCGCGAGGGCGAUUACCACGGUAGGAUUCAUGACUGGGGUGAAGUCGUAACAAGGUAA
rnacentral:rRNA from 1 species